AACGAACGCUGGCGGCGUGCCUUACACAUGCAAGUCGAACGAGAAAGCCCUUCGGGGCAAGUACAGUGGCGGACGGGUGAGUAACGCGUGGGUAAUCUACCCCUGGGCGGGGGAUAACACUUCGAAAGAGGUGCUAAUACCGCAUAAGACCACGACCCUUCGGGGGCGUGGGAAAAAGGUAGGGGAUCUUCGGACCUGUCACCUAGGGAUGAGCCCGCGUACCAUUAGGUUGUUGGUGGGGUAAAGGCCUACCAAGCCAUAGAUGGUUAGCUGGUCUGAGAGGAUGAUCAGCCACACUGGGACUGAGACACGGCCCAGACUCCUACGGGAGGCAGCAGUGGGGAAUAUUGCGCAAUGGGGGCGAACCCUGACGCAGCAACGCCGCGUGUGU
rnacentral:rRNA from 1 species